GAUGAACGCUGGCGGCGUGCCUAAUACAUGCAAGUCGAGCGAACGGACGAGAAGCUUGCUUCACUGAUAUUAGCGGCGAACGGGUGAGUAACACGUGGAGAACCUACCUAUAAGACUGGGAUAACUUCGGGAAACCGGAGCUAAUACCGGAUAAAAUUUUGAAACGCAUGGUUAAAAAGUGAAAGACGGUCUUGCAGCAACUAAUAAUGGUAUCAGGGUUGAUUUAGCUAUUUGGUAAGGUAAGGGCUUACAAAGGGAACGAUGCAUAGCCGCCCUGAGAGGGUGAUCGGCCACACUGGAACUGAGACACGGUCCAGACUCCUACGGGAGGCAGCAUUAGGGAAUCUUCCGCAAUGGGCGAAAGCCUGCCGGAGCAACGCCGCGUGAGUGAUGAAGGUCUUCGGAUCGUAAAACUCUGUUAUUAGGGAAGACCAUAUGUGUAAGUAACUGUGCACAUCUUGACGGUACCUACUCAGAAAGCCACGGCUAACUACGUG
rnacentral:rRNA from 1 species